GCACGACCGCGAUGUCUCCGCUUCGUCAAUAUGACGAGCUUCGUUGUGUGAUAAUUUAUAGAGUUCAAGAAAAAUCGGCGUUACUGACUGUAAACUAUGAAUAUUUUGUAUUUUGCUUAGUGCAGUUAGUGUGCUUUUGUGCUUAAAAACUUGUGUAAUAACUGUUUUCGCUGGACGGCGAUGAGGAACUGGUUCAUACAGUACAAGCUUGUUUUUAUGUGUGCCAUACUGGUACUGAUGAGCCCGCCGGCUACUUCUUACUUGGAGUUGUGCAGAAGCAACCUGUUUCGAAUUCGGAAUUGUCAAAUUCAAAUUUGGCGGGCGAACGCCGGGAUGGCGUACAAUCGGCCCGCUCGUGUGGCGGUCGACAAAGAACUCGACGAGGCAUCUUGAGGGCGAAAAGACGUUACGUUGGACCCUUCGAUCCCCUUGGCUUGUUUAGUUUGAAUGGUGAUAAUGGUGUAGUGCUUUUUAGUGGCCUGUUUAAUAAAAUAUUUUUUUACCUGAAUAGUGUCACGACUGUUUCUUGUUUUACAAAGGAGUGCUUUGACAGAAGUUUUCAUAAGUUAAUACUGUGAACUUUAAUAAAUAAAUUCACAUGUAAGAGAUUAAAAAUUUAUAUAAUUUCGAACUAUGUAAGUUAUAGUUUAGUUGAUUAAUUGUUUAUUUAUACUAAAAUUAAUACAUAAAUAAGUACUUUAAUAAUUGUAGUAGGUAAUAGAAAAUUUAUAUGUUAUUUUUUGUUUAUUAAAAAGAUGUAUGUAUUUCUAAAUUGAUUUUUAAUUUAACAAAUAUAAGAAUUCAAACAACAAAAAUUUGCAUUAUGUUCGUAUAUUUAGUAUAUAACAUAUGAAUGUAAAUAUUCUUUAGUACUUGUAAUUUACUGGAAAACGGGCGACGGUCAUAUUCGUGUUCUAGUGAUAUCAACCAAGGUAAAGCCAAAUGUUCUACCAAUGGCAUUGUAAAUUAACUUUUAUAUUUUAUAGCGUAAAGUCUACUUAUUAAAGCCAGGUAGCUAUAAAAAGGUUUAUUUCGUAGGGUGAGCUUUCUUCGCGAUCACUAAUAUUGUUCGUAAACAUAAAGACGAUUAUUGGGACAGAGCUGUAUUUGAAAGAUAAUAUAAUAAAUAUCUUAUUUUGUUAACGGUUCACCUAUUUUGAUAACACAAUAUAAACACAAAUAAUGUUUUGUCAUUAACAGAUGACGUUUAAAAAAAAUACUAAAAUAAAUUUACUACGCUACCUUCAGAGGAAAUCGCAACAGUCCACGUAUUGGUAUUUUAGAUUUAAGAUAUUGAUAUGUAAAAGUUAUUAAUAUAGUUAAAUGACGAAAAAACUUAUUAGCAAAAUGAAAAAAGAAAUUAAAAUGUUACAUUCCUAAAUGAGUCACAUAUGUUUGACUGUAAACUGUAAUUAAAUACUUACAUCAAUUUAUGA